UAGCCAUAUCACAUUGAAACACCAGUUCUUCUAUGAUCACCAAAGUUAAGCAACAUCAAGCCUAGUCAGUACUUAGAUGAGUGACCAUUUGGGAAUACCAGGUACCGUCAG